rnacentral:rRNA from 1 species
UACGUAGGGUGCAAGCGUUGUCCGGAAUUAUUGGGCGUAAAGAGCUUGUAAGCGGUUUGUCGCGUCUGCUGUGAAAUUUCGGGGCUCAACCCCGAACUUGCAGUGGGUACGGGCAGGCUAGAGGUAGGUAGGGGAGAUCGGAAUUCCUGGUGUAGCGGUGAAAUGCGCAGAUAUCAGGAGGAACACCGGUGGCGAAGGCGGUGAUCUGGGCCGACACUGACGCUGUAGAGCGAAAGCGUGGGGAGCGAACGGG